UGCUGGAGGUAUCAGAAGUGCGAAUGCUGACAUAAGUAACGAUAAAGCGGGUGAAAAGCCCGCUCGCCGGAAGACCAAGGGUUCCUGUCCAACGUUAAUCGGGGCAGGGUGAGUCGACCCCUAAGGCGAGGCCGAAAGGCGUAGUCGAUGGGAAACAGGUUAAUAUUCCUGUACUUGGUGUUACUGCGAAGGGGGGACGGAGAAGGCUAUGUUAGCCGGGCGACGGUUGUCCCGGUUUAAGCAU
rnacentral:rRNA from 1 species